rnacentral:rRNA from 1 species
CCUACGGGUGGCAGCAGUGAGGAAUAUUGGUCAAUGGACGAGAGUCUGAACCAGCCAAGUAGCGUGAAGGAUGACUGCCCUAUGGGUUGUAAACUUCUUUUAUAUGGGAAUAAAAUGUUCCACGUGUGGGAUUUUGUAUGUACCAUAUGAAUAAGGAUCGGCUAACUCCGUGCCAGCAGCCGCGGUAAUACGGAGGAUCCGAGCGUUAUCCGGAUUUAUUGGGUUUAAAGGGAGCGUAGGUGGAUUGUUAAGUCAGUUGUGAAAGUUUGCGGCUCAACCGUAAAAUUGCAGUUGAAACUGGACGCCUUGAGUUCACAACAGGCAGGCGGAAUUCGUGGUGUAGCGGUGAAAUGCAUAGAUAUCACGAGGAACCCCGAUUGCGAAGGCAGCCUGCCGGGGUGCGACUGACGCUGAGGCUCGAAGGUGCGGGUAUCAAACAGGAUUAGAUACCCUAGUAGUC